rnacentral:rRNA from 1 species
GACGAACGCUGGCGGCGUGCUUAACACAUGCAAGUCGAACGGAAAGGCCCUGCUUUUGUGGGGUGCUCGAGUGGCGAACGGGUGAGUAACACGUGAGUAACCUGCCCUUGACUUUGGGAUAACUUCAGGAAACUGGGGCUAAUACCGGAUAGGAGCUCCUGCUGCAUGGUGGGGGUUGGAAAGUUUCGGCGGUUGGGGAUGGACUCGCGGCUUAUCAGCUUGUUGGUGGGGUAGUGGCUUACCAAGGCUUUGACGGGUAGCCGGCCUGAGAGGGUGACCGGCCACAUUGGGACUGAGAUACGGGCCAGACUCCUACGGGAGGCAGCAGUGGGGAAUAUUGCACAAUGGGCGGAAGCCUGAUGCAGCAACGCCGCGUGCGGGAUGACGGCCUUCGGGUUGUAAACCGCUUUCGCCUGUGACGAAGCGUGAGUGACGGUAAUGGGUAAAGAAGCACCGGCUAGCUACGUG